AAGCUCGUAGUUGAAUUUCGGGACCAAUUUGUUGGUCGUGCCUCGGUACGUACUGGUAUUAUUGGUUUCUCCCUUCUGAAGAACCUCGAUGCCAUUAAUUUGGUGUCGUGGGGAAUCAGGACUGUUACUUUGAAAAAAUUAGAGUGUUUAGAGCAGGCAUACGCUUGAAUACAUUAGCAUGGAAUAAUGAAAUAGGACGUUUGAUUCUAUUUUGUUGGUUUCUAGGAUCGACGUAAUGAUUAAUAGGGAUAGUUGGG
rnacentral:rRNA from 1 species